CGCUGUGCUAGGGCAAUCUGGCUGUGACAUCUGUCACCCUAUUGUUUGACAGGGUUGAUUCAGCUGAUCUGGCUAGCUAGGUGGGUGUCCCCUUCCUCUCUCACCACUCCUUGUGCGUCCCUCCCAAAGCUAACAUGCUCGGUGGAAGAGGAUGGCCUUCCCUCAAUAGAGACGGACUGGGCUUCAGUCGAGGGUAUAGGAGUAGCUGUGCUCCCCUGCUAGAACCUCCAAACAUAAAACCAUUAAAAAUGAUAUAAUCCAAAAAAAAGAUAUAAUCCAUUAACAACAAAAUUGAAUACAAAAUGAGCCAUGUGUCUUAGAAGAUAUUU
rnacentral:snRNA from 1 species